AUUGAACGCUGGCGGCACGCUUAACACAUGCAAGUCGAACGGCAGCAUGCUUUGGGUAACUAAAGUGAUGGCGAGUGGCGAACGGGUGAGUAAAGCGCAGGGAUCUACCCUAAAGAGCGGGACAACCUUAGGAAACUGAGGCUAAUACCGCAUAAGCUCUGAGGAGGAAAGCCGGGGACCGAAAGGCCUGGCGCUUUGGGAUGAACCUGCGUCCGAUUAGCUAGUUGGUAAGGUAAAGGCUUACCAAGGCGACGAUCGGUAGCUGUUCUGAGAGGAAGACCAGCCACACUGGGACUGAGACACGGCCCAGACUCCUACGGGAGGCAGCAGUGGGGAAUAUUGGACAAUGGGGGCAACCCUGAUCCAGCGAUGCCGCGUGUGUGAAGAAGGCCUGCGGGUUGUAAAGCACUUUCGUCGGGGAAGAAAGCGUGGGAGUUAAUACCUCCUACGGGUGACGGUACCCGAAUAAGAAGCACCGGCUAACUCUGUGCCAGCAGCCGCCGUAAUAC
rnacentral:rRNA from 1 species